UGCGGGGUAGAGCAGAGGCAGCUCGUCGGGCUCAUAACCCGGAGGUCCCAGGUUCGAAUCCUGGCCCCGCUACCU
rnacentral:tRNA from 2 species